UGGGGAAUUUUGGACAAUGGGCGCAAGCCUGAUCCAGCCAUGCCGCGUGCGGGAAGAAGGCCUUCGGGUUGUAAACCGCCUCUGUCGAGGGAAGAAAUCUUCUGAGUUAAUACCUCGGGAGGAUGACGGUACCUGAAGAAUAAGCACCGGCUAACUACGUGCCAGCAGCCGCGGUAAUACGUAGGGUGCAAGCGUUAAUCGGAAUUACUGGGCGUAAAGCGUGCGCAGGCGGUUUUGUAAGACAGAGGUGAAAUCCCCGGGCUCAACCUGGGAACUGCCUUUGUGACUGCAAGGCUUGAGUGCGGCAGAGGGGGAUGGAAUUCCGCGUGUAGCAGUGAAAUGCGUAGAUAUGCGGAGGAACACCGAUGGCGAAGGCAAUCCCCUGGGCCUGCACUGACGCUCAUGCACGAAAGCGUGGGGAGCAAACAGGAUUAGAUACCCUGGUAGUCCACGCCCUAAACGAUGUCAACUGGUUGUUGGGAAGGUUCCUUCUCAGUAACGUAGCUAACGCGUGAAGUUGACCGCCUGGGGAGUACGGCCGCAAGGUUG
rnacentral:rRNA from 1 species